CUGGCAUCGGUGCUGGGGAGCGGCCCACGGGGUGGGCCACCACUCUGGCCUCUCUUGGGUCCCGCACUCUCGCUCCGGGCCCG
rnacentral:pre_miRNA from 1 species